rnacentral:rRNA from 1 species
UACGAAGGGGCUAGCGUUGCUCGGAAUCACUGGGCGUAAAGGGUGCGUAGGCGGGUCUUUAAGUCAGGGGUGAAAUCCUGGAGCUCAACUCCAGAACUGCCUUUGAUACUGAAGAUCUUGAGUUCGGGAGAGGUGAGUGGAACUGCGAGUGUAGAGGUGAAAAUUCGUAGAUAUUCGCAAAGAAACACCAGUGGCGAAAGGGCGGCUCACUGGCCCGAUACUGACGCUGAGGGCACGAAAGCGUGGGAGCAAACAGGG